AGUGUUCUAAAGUCCACUCUUGGCUCUUCUCUACAAAAUCCUCUGCUUUGUGACCCAACCUUCAGGGCCUCUGCCAAUCCUGUGGAUCUCUUCAGAUGUUCACCAUCUCCCUAGGAGCUGAGAGAAGCCACCUGGUGGCAGGGGAAGUCAUUCUUGUCUCCCCACCUUAACAAGCCUCAGGACACUUCAGAUCUGCUCAAAGGGCACCGCUGAAGUUAUUCCUGAAGAGCAACGGCUGUGACAACCUUCUCUCUCACCUGCAAAUUGGGCCAGAAUCUUUCCUCCUUUGGAAUAAAUCUCACCUAGAAGAUUAUGGUGUAUCUGAAGAUUAAGAUUGGUGUAUGGUGUAUCUGAAGAUUAAGAAGAUUAAGGUGUAUACACCUUAUGGUGUAUCACCUAGAAGAUUAUGGUGUAUGACAGAGACAGAGCAUGAGUGGGAGAGGAGCAGAGAGAGAGAGAGGGAGACACAGAAUCUGAA